rnacentral:ncRNA from 1 species
GUGUUAGUAGAAAGGAGAGAUGGUUGGCAUCUCCGAUUAAGGCUUCCUACUUUGGUCGAUCUUACCCCAUUUUUUUCAUUACGAUUCGAUUAAACUUUUUUU